AUGAGAUCGCUUGCAGUGGUGGUGGCCGUGGUAGCCACGGUGGCCAUGGCCAUCGGCACUGCGCGCGGCAGCGUGUCCUCCGUCGUCUCGCGCUCACAGUUUGACCGCAUGCUGCUGCACCGCAACGACGGCGCCUGCCAGGCCAAGGGCUUCUACACCUACGACGCCUUUGUCGCCGCCGCAAACGCCUUCCCGGGCUUCGGCGCCACCGGCAGCAACGACGCCCGGAAGCGCGAGGUGGCCGCCUUCCUGGCACAGACGUCCCACGAGACCACCGGCGGGUGGGCGACCGCACCGGACGGGGCCUUCGCUUGGGGCUACUGCUUCAAGCAGGAACGUGGAGCCGCCGCCGACUACUGCACCCCGAGCGCGCAGUGGCCUUGCGCCCCCGGGAAGCGCUACUAUGGCCGUGGGCCCAUCCAGCUCUCCCACAACUACAACUACGGGCCUGCCGGCCGGGCCAUCGGGGUCGAUCUGCUGAGAAAUCCAGACCUGGUGGCCACGGACCCCACCGUGUCGUUUAAAACGGCGAUGUGGUUCUGGAUGACGGCGCAGGCGCCAAAGCCGUCGAGCCAUGCUGUGAUCACGGGCCAGUGGAGCCCCUCAGGGGCAGACCGGGCCGCAGGGCGGGUGCCCGGGUUUGGUGUGAUCACCAACAUCAUCAACGGUGGGAUCGAGUGCGGGCACGGGCAGGACAGCCGUGUCGCUGAUCGGAUCGGGUUUUACAAGCGCUACUGCGACAUCCUUGGUGUUGGCUACGGCGACAACCUCGACUGCUACAACCAGAGACCUUUCGCUUAA
rnacentral:rRNA from 1 species